AUUUGGCUAUCCCCAACCUUUCAAAAUUUUGAUUUUACUAUCUGAAAUACCACUUUGAUCUCAAAAUUUGAAUGUGUCAUUUAUCUUUAUAGGUUUAGUUAGUAUAUUUCAUGCAAUCUCCCAAUUAUAAGUUUAUUGAAAUAAGUAAUUAGUUUAAAUUUUAUAGCAAAUUAUUAUUGACUGACUUAAACCAAAUAAAUUUAAAAAUUGUAUAAUAAAAUCAAAAUUAAUUUUGAAAAGUAAGAUAGCUGAUUCAAAACCGUCCAAAGUUCGUACAAGUUCGGUGUGUUUUACCUUUUAAGUUAACCACAUCUCGAAUACACCCUUUCCAGAAUCGAUUCUGCCAAGAUCAAAUAUAAAUAUUUUAAUAUAAUAGAUAGGUUGAGUGAUUUUACAAGUACGAUGAGUUGCGAUUUUAAGUACAUUAGCGACAUAGAGCUAUAAAAUUGGUGAAUAUAUAUAGAUGGAAUAUUUCAAUCCGAUUUUCGAUUGCUUUGUAACAAGUAACUGUAACUAAAAGCAGAAGCAGA
rnacentral:lncRNA from 1 species